UUCCGGUUGAUCCUGCCGGACCCGACUGCUAUCAGAGUGAGACUAAGCCAUGCGAGUUAACGUAUGAAUAAUACGUGGCACACGGCUCAGUAACACGUAGUCAACAUGCCCAGAGGACGUGGAUAACCUCGGGAAACUGAGGAUAAACCGCGAUAGGCCAUAAUUACUGGAAUGGGUUAUGGCUUAAACCUAUAUGGCCUCUGGAUUGGACUGCGGCCGAUCAGGCUGUUGGUGAGGUAAUGGCCCACCAAACCUGUUACCGGUACGGGCUCUGAGAGGAGGAGCCCGGAGAUGGGCACUGAGACAAGGGCCCAGGCCCUAUGGGGCGCAGCAGGCGCGAAACCUCUGCAAUAGGCGAAAGCCUGACAGGGUUACUCUGAGUGAUUCCCGCUAAGGGGAUCUUUUGGCACCUCUAAAAAUGGUGCAGAAUAAGGGGUGGGCAAGUCUGGUGUCAGCCGCCGCGGUAAUACCAGCACCCCGAGUGGUCGGGACGAUUAUUGGGCCUAAAGCAUCCGUAGCCGGUCAUGCAAGUCCUCCGUUAAAUCCACCUGCUUAACAGAUGGGCUGCGGAGGAUACUACAAAGGCUAGGAGGCGGAAGAGGCAAGCGGUACUCAGUGGGUAGGGGUAAAAUCCUCUGAUCCAUUGAAGACCACCAGUGGCGAAGGCGGCUUGCCAAUACGCGCUCGACGGUGAGGGAUGAAAGCUGGGGGAGCAAACCGGAUUAGAUACCCGGGUAGUCCCAGCUGUAAACGAUGCAGACUCGGUGAUGGGCCGGCUUUAUGCCGGCUCAGUGCCGCAGGGAAGCCGUUAAGUCUGCCGCCUGGGGAGUACGGUCGCAAGACUGAAACUUAAAGGAAUUGGCGGG
rnacentral:rRNA from 1 species